CCUACGGUGUGCAGCAGUGAGGAAUAUUGGUCAAUGGGCGCGAGCCUGAACCAGCCAAGUAGCGUUAAGGAUGACUGCCCUACGGGUUGUAAACCUCUUUUAUACGGGAAUAAAGUGCGGGACGUGUCCCGUUUUGUAUGUACCUUAUGAAUAAGGAUCGGCUAACGCCGUGCCAGCAGCCGCGGUAAUACGGCGGAUCCGAGCGUUAUCCGGAUGUAUUGGGUUUAAAGGGUGCGUAGGCGGCCUUUUAAGUCAGCGGUGAAAGUCUGUGGCUCAACCAUAGAAUUGCCGUUGAAACUGGGAGGAUUGAGUAUGUGUGAGGCAGGCGGAAUGCGUGGUGUAGCGGUGAAAUGCUUAGAUAUCACGCAGAACCCCGAUUGCGAAGGCAGCCUGACAAGCCAUGACUGACGCUGAUGCACGAAAGCGUGGGGAUCAAACAGGAUUAGAUACCCGAGUAGUC
rnacentral:rRNA from 1 species